rnacentral:rRNA from 1 species
UACGUAGGGUGCAAGCGUUGUCCGGAAUUAUUGGGCGUAAAGAGCUUGUAGGCGGUUUGUCGCGUCUGCUGUUAAAUUUCGGGGCUCAACCCCGAACUUGCAGUGGGUACGGGCAGACUAGAGUGUGGUAGGGGAGACUGGAAUUCCUGGUGUAGCGGUGAAAUGCGCAGAUAUCAGGAGGAACACCGAUGGCGAAGGCAGGUCUCUGGGCCAUAACUGACGCUGAGAAGCGAAAGCAUGGGGAGCGAACAGG